rnacentral:lncRNA from 1 species
UUUUCUAGCAUUUUUUGAAUGGGAAACUUGUUCAAAAUUAAUUGUUUAAGUUUUUACUGGCUAUCUAUGAACAAAAUGAACACCUGUAAGAGUAUUUUCCAUUGUUUUAAAUGUAUAGUGCAAAUCCAUCUUAUGUCCUCUACUCAUAUUGAAUCAGGCUAGAUUAAGGGUAAAAAUCAUAAAUUCCAUUUCUAGCUAUAAAAGGAAUUUAUUCUUUAAAUUAUUGUAGUGCUAUUACAACUGGGGCAACCAAUACAUUAAAACAGAUUAGCUUUCACAAGUUUCAUUUAAUAUGUUAUACAUUUCAAGCCAGAGUUAAAUGUACUAGAGUCUUUUAUUUUCAAAGAAUUCCAAUGAGGCAGAAAACACAAACAAAAAUCAUAAUUCCUCUUGAGAGUUUACUGAGUUCAGAGAUCUAUAAUUCAUGAGUUUACUAAUUUUAAUUACUACAUAUGGAUAUUGUUUGAUCUACUAUUUUAUUGAGAGGCUGGAGUUUAGCUGCAAAAUUUAUCUGUAAAAUUGUUUUAUAAUAGAAAAUAACAUGCUUUUGCUUUCAGUUUAGAUUGUAAGAAAAAAAUGGACUAAAGCUAGAUUAUCAAGUCCCCCUUUCUUUUUCUUCUAAGGACAACAAGGAAAUUAUGAUACAAACUAAAAUAAAAAUAAAGAGAAAGCACAGAUUUGUGAACACAGAAUUCAGACUCAGGAAUUUCUCUUGGCUUGAAGCAUUACAACAGACAGCAUGCAGGAGAGAUCUUUAAGGGAGUCUCCUGUGUCAUCAAGGGUCUAGAUUACAUCAUCAUUGAUUUAAUCUUUUCCAUCUCCUAAUUUUAAUGGCUCU